rnacentral:lncRNA from 1 species
UGUCAAUUUCAGUAAGAAAUACCCAACUAAAUUCGAUCAGCACAGUUCUGGGUGUGGCUGAGAGGAUUUACUAAAGACAGAAGCCCCACCCAGGGUGUGAGUGACACCAACCAAUCGGCUUGCUAUCUGAAUGGAGUAAAAGGGGAAACAAAGAAGGAAGACUUACUUCUGUUUCUUCAGAGGAGCUCUGCUCUUCACCUUCAUCUUGGACAUCAUCUCCUGGCUUCCAGCACACUCUUCAGUCUUCAAGUGCCGACACUUUGGCCUCCUGAUGAGGACUUGGUCAGGACACUCAGUGAGCUCUAAGUCUUCAGCUGGACCCUGUGGAUCUCCAGGCAGUCCUUUGCGCUUUUCCACAUCUGACUCUGUGACCGGCCAUUUUUUGGUGACAGGUGAGCAGAAUUUGCUCCGGGCAAACACAAUGGAACAGCCCUAUCAUGGAAGGCCCGCCAGAGUGAAGACCAGCAUGGCCAGCAGCAGGACUCCGAGAGGAAGUAGCAAGUCCAGACAGACGGGAUGGGCCUGCAGCCAAGAGAAAGAAAGCAGCCAACAGGAAUCAGCACUGGCUGCACAGGGAUCUGCGUGUGCAGUUCCUGGACAAGCUGCACAAGGAUGACCAGUAUUACAACACCAAGAUGAGGACUGAAGAUGUCCUGAGCCCUGAUGCACGUAUGUGCAGGGAAGAUGUUUGGAGACCCCGCUUCCCAAAGUUGAGGUUGAGUGUGUGAUGCUGGUGCUGGGGCCACAGGCUGGAAAGAUGGGACAUCUGCUAAGCAGGGACCAAGCAUGGAGCUGGGCUUUGUACAGCGGAGGAGAAUCAUUUGGGAGCACUUCACUACCAUGCUGUGUGCUAGUACAUGGGCCCCAGUGACUCAGAUGAAGACUGCCCGUGGGAUGACUCC